GACGAACCGAGCGAACGUUGUUCGGAAUCACUGGGCUUAAAGGGCGCGUAGGCGGGUGCUCAAGUCUGUGGUGAAAUCCUCCAGCUUAACUGGAGAACUGCCAUGGAUACUGGGUGUCUCGAGGAAGAUAGGGGUAUGCGGAACGAUUGGUGGAGCGGUGAAAUGCGUUGAUAUCAAUCGGAACUCCGGUGGCGAAGGCGGCAUACUGGACCGGCAUUGACGCUGAGGCGCGAAAGCUAGGGGAGCAAACGGG
rnacentral:rRNA from 1 species